ACUCCUACGGGAGGCAGCAGUGGGGAAUAUUGCACAAUGGGCGCAAGCCUGAUGCAGCCAUGCCGCGUGUGUGAAGAAGGCCUUCGGGUUGUAAAGCACUUUCAGUUGUGAGGAAGGUGGUGUCGUUAAUAGCGGCAUCAUUUGACGUUAGCAACAGAAGAAGCACCGGCUAACUCCGUGCCAGCAGCCGCGGUAAUACGGAGGGUGCGAGCGUUAAUCGGAAUUACUGGGCGUAAAGCGCAUGCAGGUGGUUUGUUAAGUCAGAUGUGAAAGCCCGGGGCUCAACCUCGGAACUGCAUUUGAAACUGGCAGACUAGAGUACUGUAGAGGGGGGUAGAAUUUCAGGUGUAGCGGUGAAAUGCGUAGAGAUCUGAAGGAAUACCGGUGGCGAAGGCGGCCCCCUGGACAGAUACUGACACUCAGAUGCGAAAGCGUGGGGAGCAAACAGGAUUAGAUACCC
rnacentral:rRNA from 1 species